rnacentral:rRNA from 1 species
UACGAAGGGGGCUAGCGUUGCUCGGAAUCACUGGGCGUAAAGCGCACGUAGGCGGAUUGUUAAGUCAGGGGUGAAAUCCUGGAGCUCAACUCCAGAACUGCCUUUGAUACUGGCGAUCUUGAGUUCGGGAGAGGUGAGUGGAACUGCGAGUGUAGAGGUGAAAUUCGUAGAUAUUCGCAAGAACACCAGUGGUGAAGGCGGCUCACUGGCCCGAUACUGACGCUGAGGUGCGAAAGCGUGGGGAGCAAACAGG